GACAGAGGUGCCAAGCGUUAGGCGGAAUCACUGGGCUUAAAGCGUGUGUAGGCGGAUGCCUAAGUACCUUGUGAAAUCCCACGGCUCAACCGUGGAACUGCUUGGUAUACUGGGUGUCUUGAGCCAUCUUAGGGGCUACCGGGAACAAAUGGUGGAGCGGUGAAAUGCGUAGAUAUCAGGAGGAACACCGGUGGCGAAGGCGGUUCUCUGGGCAUUACCUGACGCUGAGGAGCGAAAGUGUGGGGAGCGAACAGG
rnacentral:rRNA from 1 species